rnacentral:rRNA from 1 species
CGGUCAGAUGAACGCUGGCGGCAGGCUUAACACAUGCAAGUCGAACGGCAGCACGGGUGCUUGCACCUGGUGGCGAGUGGCGGACGGGUGAGUAAUACUUGGGAAUCCGGCUUAUGGAGGGGGAUAACUGCUGGAAACGGUAGCUAAUACCGCGUAAUAUCGGAAGAUUAAAGUGCGGGACCGAAAGGCCGCAUGCCAUAAGAUGAGCCCAAGCGGGAUUAGGUAGUUGGUGGGGUAAAGGCCUACCAAGCCUGCGAUCUCUAGCUGGUCUGAGAGGAUGACCAGCCACACCGGGACUGAGACACGGCCCGGACUCCUACGGGAGGCAGCAGUGGGGAAUAUUGCGCAAUGGGGGCAACCCUGACGCAGCCAUGCCGCGUGAAUGAAGAAGGCCUUCGGGUUGUAAAGUUCUUUCGGUGAUGAGGAAGGUGCUUAUAUUAACAGGAUAAGCAAUUGACGUUAGUCACAGAAGAAGCACCGGCUAACUCCGUGCCAGCAGCCGCGGUAAUACGGAGGGUGCGAGCGUUAAUCGGAAUAACUGGGCGUAAAGGGCACGCAGGCGGAUUGUUAAGUGAGAUGUGAAAUCCCCGAGCUUAACUUGGGAACCGCAUUUCAGACUGGCAGUCUGGAGUAUUUUAGGGAGGGGUAGAAUUCCACGUGUAGCGUGUGAAAUGCGUAGAGAUGUGGAGGAAUACCGAAGGCGAAGGC